GCUUUGGCCAGAAGAUGUCAAACCUUGAGCACGAUAGAUCUGUCGCUUCGGCCAGAUCAAUCGAGGAGUUAUUGAGCGUGGGAAGGAGCGGCACAAGAAGCAGCCCCUCACGGCAAGGUUAGUAAGUCAAUAAUGAAUAUAUCCUUUAGACUGAUGUAGUUGUUUUGCAGGUUAUUUUUGUUUUGCAGGAACGAUCCUGUCGCUUUGGCCAGGAUCC
rnacentral:lncRNA from 1 species